GAUGAACGCUAGCGGCAGGCCUAACACAUGCAAGUCGGACGGUAACAGGAAAGAGCUUGCUCUUUUGCUGACGAGUGGCGCACAGGUGCGUAACGCGUAUACAAUCUACCUUUUACAGGGGGAUAGCCUUUAGAAAUGAAGAUUAAUACCCCAUAGUAUCUAAAUUUCGCAUGUUAUUUAGAUUAAAAUUUCGGUGGUAAAAGAUGAGUAUGCGUUCUAUUAGCUAGAUGGUAAGGUAACGGCUUACCAUGGCGACGAUAGAUAGGGGCCCUGAGAGGGGGAUCCCCCACACUGGUACUGAGACACGGACCAG
rnacentral:rRNA from 1 species